GACGAACGCUGGCGGCGUGCUUAACACAUGCAAGUCGAGCGGUAAGGCCCUUUCGGGGGUACACGAGCGGCGAACGGGUGAGUAACACGUGGGUGACCUGCCUCUAGCUCUGGGAUAAGCCUGGGAAGCUGGGUCUAGUACCGGAUAUGACCUCGCGGUGCAUGUUGCGGGGUGGAAAGCCUUGUGCGGCUAGGGGAUGGGCCCGCGGCCUAUCAGCUUGUUGGUGGGGUGAGGCCUACCAAGGCGACGACGGGUAGCCGGCCUGAGAGGGCGACCGGCCACACUGGGACUGAGACACGGCCCAGACUCCUACGGGAGGCAGCAGUGGGGAAUCUUGCGCAAUGGGCGAAAGCCUGACGCAGCGACGCCGCGUGAGGGAUGACGGCCU
rnacentral:rRNA from 1 species